GUUUGAUCCUGGCUCAGAACGAACGCUGGCGGCGCGCCUAAUACAUGCAAGUCGAGCGAGAAGGUGUAGCAAUACACUUGUAAAGCGGCGAACGGGUGAGGAAUACAUGGGUAAUCUACCAUCGAGUGGGGAAUAACCAGCCGAAAGGUUGGCUAAUACCGCGUACGCUUCCGAGUCUUCGGGCUUGGAAGGAAAGCCGCACUGUGAGUGCGGCGCUCUUUGAUGAGCUCAUGUCCUAUCAGCUUGUUGGUAGGGUAACGGCCUACCAAGGCUUUGACGGGUAGCUGGUCUGAGAGGACGAUCAGCCACACUGGCACUGCGACACGGGCCAGACUCCUACGGGAGGCAGCAGUAAGGAAUAUUGCGCAAUGGGCGAAAGCCUGACGCAGCGACGCCGCGUGGGGGAUGAAGGUCUUCGGAUUGUAAACCCCUUUCGGGAGGGAAGAUGGAGCGAGCAAUCGUUCGGACGGUACCUCCAGAAGCAGCCACGGCCAACUUCGUG
rnacentral:rRNA from 1 species